rnacentral:rRNA from 1 species
UACGUAGGUGGCAAGCGUUGUCCGGAUUUAUUGGGUUUAAAGGGUGCGUAGGCGGUCAAAUAAGUCAGUUGUGAAAUACGGCAGCUCAACUGUCGAGGUGCAAUUGAUACUGUUUGACUUGAGUAUUGUUGAGGUAGGCGGAAUGGACGGUGUAGCGGUGAAAUGCUUAGAGAUCGUCCAGAACACCGAUAGCGAAGGCAGCUUACUAAAGAAUAACUGACGCUGAGGCACGAAAGUGUGGGGAGCAAACAGG